UUAGUUCAAUUGGUAAAAAAUAUAUAAUUAAAUUAUGUCUAUAAAUACCCCAGGAUAAUAGCAGUGAAGGGGGUUGAAAAAUUUUGGCUCCAAAAAUUGGUAAAGAAAUGUAGAAUUUAUGAGCACCAGAAAAAGCUUGGAGAAAGAAGAUAGGCAGGGCACAACAUUGAUUUGUGAGUUUCAAGACAAUCUUCUAGUUUAACUUGUUAAGGAAUGAUGCAUUUAAGAAGCUUUUGUCAUUACUCUCAAGAAAUAAUAAGCAUUUAAUGUAUAUGAGACAAACUGUAUGUUUCAUCUGAUUUACAUUGUCUUAUAGACGAUUUAUAUAUUACACUUCAUUUGAUAAGGGUUUUCAAAGAUAUUUUUUUUAA